rnacentral:rRNA from 1 species
GAUGAACGCUAGCGGCAGGCUUAAUACAUGCAAGUCGAGGGGCAGCAAGAUUGUAGCAAUACAAUUGUUGACGACCGGCAAACGGGUGCGGAACACGUACACAACCUUCCUACAAGUGGGGAAUAGCCCAGAGAAAUUUGGAUUAAUACCCCGUAACAUAGCGAUGUGGCAUCACAUUGCUAUUAUAGCUUCGGCGCUUGUUGAUGGGUAGGCGGCUGAUUAGAUAGUUGGCGGGGUAACGGCCCACCAAGUCUACGAUCAGUAGCUGAUGUGAGAGCAUGAUCAGCCACACGGGCACUGAGACACGGGCCCGACUCCUACGGGAGGCAGCAGUAAGGAAUAUUGGACAAUGGACGCAAGACUGAUCCAGCCAUGCCGCGUGAAGGAUUAAGGUCCUCUGGAUUGUAAACUUCUUUUAUAAGGGACGAAAAAAGGUCUUUCUAGAUCGUCUGACGGUACCUUAUGAAUAAGCACCGGCUAACUCCGUGCCAGCAGCCGCCGUAAUAC